rnacentral:rRNA from 1 species
UACGGGGGGGGCAAGCGUUGUUCGGAAUUACUGGGCGUAAAGGGCUCGUAGGUGGCCAACUAAGUCAGACGUGAAAUCCCUCGGCUUAACCGGGGAACUGCGUCUGAUACUGGAUGGCUUGAGUUCGGGAGAGGGAUGCGGAAUUCCAGGUGUAGCGGUGAAAUGCGUAGAUAUCUGGAGGAACACCGGUGGCGAAGGCAGCAUCCUGGACCGAUACUGACGCUGAGGAGCGAAAGCCAGGGGAGCAAACGGG